AAAAGGUCAAACAGUCGGGAGAAUUACUUGGCUUGAAAGAAAGUUUCAAUUUUCGCCUCUAACUCUUCCUCGGAUCAAAAGAGCUAUUUUCUCUAGAUCAAAGGGAAACCAAGUGACAAACGAAGAUUUGCAGGUCCUGCCCAUGGUAUGCAGUGAAUGGAGAGACAACAGUCCACUCCCUAAAAAAC
rnacentral:lncRNA from 11 species